AGUGAACGCUGGCGGUAGGCCUAACACAUGCAAGUCGAACGGCAGCACAGUAAGAGCUUGCUCUUACGGGUGGCGAGUGGCGGACGGGUGAGGAAUACAUCGGAAUCUACUUUUUCGUGGGGGAUAACGUAGGGAAACUUACGCUAAUACCGCAUACGACCUACGGGUGAAAGCAGGGGAUCUUCGGACCUUGCGCGAUUGAAUGAGCCGAUGUCGGAUUAGCUAGUUGGCGGGGUAAAGGCCCACCAAGGCGACGAUCCGUAGCUGGUCUGAGAGGAUGAUCAGCCACACUGGAACUUAGACACGGUCCAGACUACUACGGGAGGCAGCAGUGGGGAAUAUUGGACAAUGGGCGCAAGCCUGAUCCAGCCAUACCGCGUGGGUGAAGAAGGCCUUCGGGUUGUAAAGCCCUUUUGUUGGGAAAGAAAAGCAGCAGGUUAAUACCCCGCUGUUCUGACGGUACCCAAAGAAUAAGCACCGGCUAACUUCGUG
rnacentral:rRNA from 1 species